AGGGAACGCUGGCGGCAGGCCUAACACAUGCAAGUCGAACGGACCCUUCGGGGUUAGUGGCGGACGGGUGAGUAACACGUGGGAACGUGCCUUUAGGUUCGGAAUAGCUCCUGGAAACGGGUGGUAAUGCCGAAUGUGCCCUUCGGGGGAAAGAUUUAUCGCCUUUAGAGCGGCCCGCGUCUGAUUAGCUAGUUGGUGAGGUAAUGGCUCACUAAGGCGACGAUCAGUAGCUGGUCUGAGAGGAUGACCAGCCACAUUGGGACUGAGACACGGCCCAAACUCCUACGGGAGGCAGCAGUGGGGAAUCUUGCGCAAUGGGCGAAAGCCUGACGCAGCCAUGCCGCGUGGAUGAUGAAGGUCUUAGGAUUGUAAAAUCCUUUCACCGGUGAAGAUAAUGACUGUAGCCGGAGAAGAAGCCCCGGCUAACUUCGUGCCAGCCGCCGCCGUAAGAC
rnacentral:rRNA from 1 species